UGGGGAAUAUUGCACAAUGGGCGAAAGCCUGAUGCAGCAACGCCGCGUGAGUGAUGAAGGUCUUCGGAUUGUAAAGCUCCGUCUUUUGGGACGAUAAUGACGGUACCAAAGGAGGAAGCCACGGCUAACUACGUGCCAGCAGCCGCGGUAAUACGUAGGUGGCGAGCGUUGUCCGGAUUUACUGGGCGUAAAGGGUGCGUAGGCGGAUGUUUAAGUGAGAUGUGAAAUACCCGGGCUUAACUUGGGUGCUGCAUUUCAAACUGGAUAUCUAGAGUGCAGGAGAGGAGAAUGGAAUUCCUAGUGUAGCGGUGAAAUGCGUAGAGAUUAGGAAGAACACCAGUGGCGAAGGCGAUUCUCUGGACUGUAACUGACGCUGAGGCACGGAAGCGUGGGUAGCAAACAGGAUUAGAUACCCUGGUAGUCCACGCCGUAAACGAUGAGUACUAGGUGUAGGAGGUAUCGACCCCUUCUGUGCCGCAGUAAACACAUUAAGUACUCCGCCUGGGAAGUACGAUCGCAAGAUUAAAACUCUAAAGUGAAUUGAC
rnacentral:rRNA from 1 species